GGAGUGGAGGAGUUUGCUGGGUCUCAGCCCAGGGGGCCAGCGAGCUCCAGGCUCCCUAGAGCCCAGCCCCUGGCCAAUCAGUGUCCACCUUGGCCAUGUGUCCCCAGCCCCCUAAAGCCAUAAAGGGGGACUCCCUGACAGCCCCCACCCCACAGAGCUUGGGGUGUUUCUCUUAAAGAUCCAGCUCCUGGAGUCCCAUGAUUUUUGCAAGACUCCCUAUUUGCAUGUCAUGCCCAGCCCUUACAGUUGUGCACACUCAAAGUUGUGACCCCCGCCCCACCCCUGGUCUCAGACACCUGAAAGCAGGGGAAACAAACUGAACUGGGUGGAUUUGAACCCAACAACUCAGGAUUUUUAGGCCAGUCUCAGGAUUUGGGAGACCUGGAUUCAUGUCGUUUGGACAGUCGAGGCUUAUGAUGCUGCGGACCCAAAGCCCAAUCAUUGAUUCUGGCUGGUCAGCACCCAAUCUGGUCAUCCCCACCGUGUCAAUAGCACAAUUAAGCACAUGGAGAAUUCCCUGCCCCUGUCCCAAAAUCUGAUUGCUGGGCAUAUUAUGUCAGUGCCCAUGCCCAGGGAGCACACUUUCCCCCUUCCAGACCCGCAGUCCCACGACUUAAUGCGCAUGGCUCUUUGAGACUCUGAGAGGAAGGAUCAGAAGCAAUGUUCCAUCUAAAUUUUUCUAUACAGCAAGAUUGGCAAGAACAGCAGAGGAGACCAAGAAUGAAGGAAAGGAAUGAAGGAGAAAAGAAGACAGAAAACCCACAAUGAGGGCAGGGAAGACAGAGCCAAAACAGGAAAAAAGCAAGAAAAAAGAUAAUAUGAUUGAUCUUGCAGUGACUGAUCCUUCAUUAGCACUCCAGCUUUCUUCCCAGCUUCAUCAUAGUCCUUUAGGCUUAUCUACAAAUCAAAGUGAGCCUUCAGAUCACUUCACAAGCAUGGGUGCUUAUAUAACAGGGAACAGAAGAGAAGCUGAAAGGAAAUUCCAGUUCAGCCUGGCCUGCCUUUUGGAUGAAUGCUUAUAUAAGGAACCUGGAAUCACAGGAGCAGUGACAAUGGAAAUAAUUUUGGAAAUGGUAGAGCUGAACUGGAAGGAAAAGUCAAGUGAAAGAAAUUGAACAAGUUGUAU